ACAAGCCCUGGCACUGCUAAAUCUACUCCUGCGUCUGGAAAAAUCCGUAACUUCUGUGAACCACCCAUUCAGCAGUUCCACCCCCGGCACUGAAUGGAUGAGCCCUGGCACAGGGAGUAUUGGAUGGCGUCAGGCAGCGAGGGAAGCUCUGGCAGUGCAACUCUUGCACAAAGGUCAAGAUACCACUAACCAAAGCGAAGGCCUGCUGCUGAACUGCCUCAGACCACACGGCCUCUUAAAAGACAGUCAACUUGCUCAUCUUUCCUUUGAGUAAAUGAAGUUAUGGAUACUUAUAAAAAGGUUUCAGAGUCACGGACAAUGCUGAGCAGCCGUGUGUGUAACAGUUGCAGACGAAAGGUACAAUUAGUCUAAUGUGGGCACCAAAACAGAGAAAAGGAUGAUCAGGAAAAUGAAAGAGGAGAAUGCAAGCAAGCGUUCGGUGACAGAAGAAAAUCAUCAGCCUUGGCUGAUACCACCAGACAAGAAGAGGCCAAUGCCAUUUGGAAAAUAAUGACAUGGCCUCAAGAGAGGUGUGUGUAUGUGCGUGUGAAAUAAGCACUAAAAGAAAAUGAGCCUUGCUGUACUAAUUGGCCUUGCACUUUCCCUGUAAUUUCUCAUGAGUUCCCUGUUCUCCUCUAAUCAUCCACACUCAUGAGUACUUCCCCAUUUAGUUAUCUCCUUACAACUGCUAAUUUGAUGCUAUAUAAUUAAUUUUACA